rnacentral:tRNA from 1 species
UCCCUGGAGGAAGAGUGGUUAGGCCACAGCACUCUCAAAGCUGCGGCUCGGGUUUGAUUCCCGGCCAGGAAG